rnacentral:rRNA from 1 species
CCUACGGGUGGCAGCAGUGAGGAAUAUUGGUCAAUGGUCGGAAGGCUGAACCAGCCAAGCCGCGUGAAGGACGAAGGUGCAGAGUAUUGUAAACUUCUUUUGUCAGGGAACAAAAUCUGGCUCGCGACCCCGAACGAGGGUACUUGAAGAAAAAGCAUCGGCUAACUCCGUGCCAGCAGCCGCGGUAAUACGGAGGAUGCGAGCGUUAUCCGGAUUUAUUGGGUUUAAAGGGUGCGUAGGCGGACUGUUAAGUCAGCGGUAAAAGCCCGGGGCUAAACCCCGGCGAGCCGUUGAAACUGGCUGUCUUGAGGUGGCGAGAGGUAUGCGGAAUGCGCGGUGUAGCGGUGAAAUGCAUAGAUAUCGCGCAGAACUCCGAUUGCGAAGGCAGCAUGCCGGCGGCGAACUGACGCUGAGGCACGAAAGCGUGGGUAUCGAACAGGAUUAGAUACCCUUGUAGUC